rnacentral:rRNA from 1 species
UACGUAGGGUGCAGGCGUUAAUCGGAAUUACUGGGCGUAAAGCGUGCGCAGGCGGUUUGCUAAGACAGGUGUGAAAUCCCCGGGCUUAACCUGGGAACUGCGCUUGUUACUGGCAGGCUUGAGUGUGGCAGAGGGAGGUGGAAUUCCACGUGUAGCGGUGAAAUGCGUAGAGAUGUGGAGGAACACCGAUGGCGAAGGCAGCCUCCUGGGCCAAUACUGACGCUGAGGAGCGAAAGCCAGGGGAGCAAACGGG